rnacentral:rRNA from 1 species
ACGUAGGGUGCGAGCGUUAAUCGGAAUUACUGGGCGUAAAGCGUGCGCAGGCGGGCUUUUAAGCCAGACGUGAAAUCCCCGGGCUCAACCUGGGAACUGCCUUUGUGACUGCAUAGCUAGAGUACGGUAGAGGGGGAUGGAAUUCCGCGUGUAGCAGUGAAAUGCGUAGAUAUGCGGAGGAACACCGAUGGCGAAGGCAAUCCCCUGGACCUGUACUGACGCUCAUGCACGAAAGCGUGGGGAGCAAACAGGA